rnacentral:rRNA from 1 species
GACGAACGCUGGCGGCGUGCUUAACACAUGCAAGUCGAACGGAAAGGCCCUGCUUUUGUGGGGUGCUCGAGUGGCGAACGGGUGAGUAACACGUGAGUAACCUGCCCUUGACUUUGGGAUAACUUCAGGAAACUGGGGCUAAUACCGGAUAGGAGCUCCUGCUGCAUGGUGGGGGUUGGAAAGUUUCGGCGGUUGGGGAUGGACUCGCGGCUUAUCAGCUUGUUGGUGGGGUAGUGGCUUACCAAGGCUUUGACGGGUAGCCGGCCUGAGAGGGUGACCGGCCACAGUGGGACUGAGAUACGGCCCAGACUCCUACGGGAGGCAGCAGUGGGGAAUAUUGCACAAUGGGCGGAAGCCUGAUGCAGCAACGCCGCGUGCUGGAUGACGGCCUUCGGGUUGUAAACCGCUUUCGCCUGUGACGAAGCGUGAGUGACGGUAAUGGGUAAAGAAGCACCGGCUAACUACGUG